rnacentral:lncRNA from 1 species
UUUUUUUUUUUUUUUUUUUUUUUUUUUUGUCUUUUCUAGGGCCGCACCUGUGGCAUAUGGAGCUUCCCAGGGUAGGGGUCUAAUCAGAGCUACAGCUGCCGGCCUAUGCCACAGCCAUAGCAAUGCCAGAUCUGAGCCACAUCUUCGACCUACACCACAGCUCACGGCAACGCCGGAUCCUUAACCCCUUGAGCAAGGCCAGGGAUCAAACCUGAAACCUCAUGGUUCCUAGCCGGAUUGGUUAACCACUGAGCCAGUACAGGAACUUCUCACUAUACUCUUAAAGUAUGUGCCGCAUCUUGAAAGAUGGGAUGGUGGGGAGGAAGGGAAACAUUUUGAUCACUGUUUAGUAGAAACUCAAACCUGGCCCAAUAUCUUCUCCUUAAAAUAGGCCAGAUGUGAACUUUCAUUUGCAGUCAUUACAUCCCAAUUGAUUUCCACAACAUAAUCAAAAGUGGACAUGACAGCAUUAGUCUCAAAAGACCACGAGUCAACUGUCCUCCUAUCAGCCCUCAUACUCACAGGUUCAGAUCAGUACAGAAUUUCCCUUAAGAACUCUUUUUACACGUUCCCCAAACAAAAACUUUAGUAAAAGACUAAUUCAAUUAGAAUCCUUUAAAAACUGAUGAAGCUUAAGGAUAGGAGAAUACUUUUCACUUCAUUUAUUUUUAUAUAUCAUAUUUCUCCUUCUGUUUUAUACACACACACACACACAUAUAUAUACUUUGUAUUUGAAUUGUAUACAUUUUUUAAAAAAUAUUUUUUGGAGUUCCUGUUGUGGCUCAGCAGGUGAAGUACCCAAUGUCGUCUCUGUGAGGAAGCAAGUUUGAUCCCUGGCCUCACUCAGGGAUUAAGGAUCCGGCAUUGCUACAAACUGCAGCAUAGUUGUCUGUGGCUGUGGUGUAGGCUACAGCCGCAGCUCUGAUUCGACCCCUGGCCUGGGAACUUCCAUAUGCUGCAAGUAUGGCCUUAAAAAUAAAUAAAUAAAAUAAAAUAAAAUAAAAAACUGUGACUACUAGAAAACUUUAAAUCACAUGGAUGACUCACAUCAUAUCUUCAUUAGACUGUGCUGCUCCAGAUUAUAAAUGGUUUAUCCUCUUAGCUCCCAGUCAGCAGAACCGAUCUGUCCCAUGUCCCCUUCUCUGGGUGGCCAUUCUCUAAUGCUAAAGCCCAACCAUACCAGGUGUUCCUGAGUAGACAGUGUGCCCCUGACAGUGACAUCUAGACUGAGCCUCUGAAGCCUCAGGGUGGUUGUAAGAAGUGUGUCCCCCCUUCUGCAGGAGGCAGGAAGGCAGGGAAGGGGAGGGACCCCGCCACCCCUCAAAUGGCACUAAUUCUACCUGCAUGGGAGCACUGACUUUCCAAUGGUCAUCUGGCUGGGAGGAUUUUCAUCUCCUGAAGUAUCAUGGUAGCUUGGGGAGGAGGGGGGAAGAGGAAGAGAACAAAGUCUUAAAUAUUCUUCAGCAUGACCCCUCGGUCAUCCCUCUCCUCUCUCUUUCAGGUUAGAAACAGAAAUUCAUAAAACCCAGGGACAAUACUGGCUUCCCCAUGGGACUCCUCAUUUUUGCCAGGAGCUGGGCUGAGUGCUUUGUGGGUAUCAUCUCAUCCCAUUUGCCCAACCACCCCAUGAAAUUUCUAGAAGAGGAAACUCAAGCUUAGGAGGGUUAAGUAAUGUGCCCGAGGUGACCACAGGAUUAGUCAAGGGGCCAAGUCACAGGAUUCAGGUCUGAUCGGCUCUGGACCCAUGUUCCUCCCCACCAAUUCACUUCUCCAGGCCUUGGUUUCCUCAUCUGUGGAAUGGGGACAUUAUCUGCCUGAAGGCGGGGUGGAAGGCUCCAUGGUCCCCAGGGACCCAUCCUCUCCUGGAAAGAGGUUCUGGGCUCUUGCAGAGCUGCCCAGUUCCCUCUCCAUCUCUAGCCACUCUCUGGAUGGGCUGCACCCCACAUCCUAGGCUGGCACACCUGUCCCUGACUGCUUGACCUUGGGGCUCUCUUGACCUUGAGGUUCCUCCUGCCUGGGUGCCCUCUAGUUCCUGUCUUGUGAGUUAAGUGCCUCUAGCUCCUUAUAUCAGGACUCCACCUCAACUUCACCUCCUCCAAAGCCCCAUCAAAACUGUCAAGCCAGAAAGCUGCUUCCCAGUCCACCUCCCAGGAGGUGAUGCUCUUCUCCACCCCUCCCCCAGGGCCCUGCACUCCCUUCCCAGCAAACUCACUCGCACCUGAAGCCUUGACACAGACAGGCUUAGCCAGCGCCUCACCUCCCACAGGAAGGAUUAUGUACAUUCAACACACUCAGCUAAAUAUUUCCUGAGCAUCCACGGCACACUUGGCUUCUUCUAUACUCUAUGGGUGUUCUACAGUCUGGGGCACAGCAGUGACGGUGACAAAGUCCCUGCCUGGGCUUCUGAAGGAGUCAAGAUUUCCCCCAAAACAGUGAUGCCCUAAACACACUAUGUGAACAUACUAGUUUAUGGAAUUCCCGUUGUGGCUCAGUGGUUAACGAACCCGACUAGCAUUCAUAAGGAUGUGAGUUCAGUACCUGGCCUCGCUCAGUGAGUUAAGGAUCUGGUAUUGCUGUGAGCUGUGGUGUAGGUUGCAGACAUGGCUCAGAUCCCAUGUUGCUGUGGCUGUGGUGUAGGCCAGCAGCUACAGCUCUGAAUGGACCCCUAACCUGGGAACCCCCAUGUGCCGUUGUUGUGGCCCUAAAAAAAAAAGACCAAAAAAAAAAAAUACUGGUUCACAUUUCUCAAGAUUCUCCUGCUGUUAUUUUUGGGUCAAGGAAUGAUUCAUAAAUGAUUAAUGAUUAAUAAAUGAUUCUAAAGAACAUGAUGGCAUUGGUAAGUGUGAUAGAACACUUGGUAAGGGACAGCUUGCUAUACCAUACACCAGUGGCUCUUAACACAGUGAUGGAGGCAGGUGUAUAGUGAGAAGUACCUUUCUAAGCCCAUCUGCAAAGCGUUGGGGUGGGAUAGGGGGGUGCUAUUUUCCUAAUUCAAACUGCAGAUGGUAAAGCUUACUGAAAUGUUCUUGGCCAAUGAGGAGACUUGGAAAAUACAUUUUCUUCUACAUAGCAAUGAUUUACGCUGGGAAUGUCCCAGACUCCCAAGAAAAAGAAACUUCUCUUCAUUAAAAGAUGAUCUGGGUAUUAAAAGUUUUAGAAAACAGUAUUUAAUCUUAUUACAUUUAUUUGUGCAUAUGUGUGCGUGUGUGUGUGCGUGUGUGUGUUUUAGUGGAUGUAUGAAAAAAGACUGGAAGGAAAUACAGCCAAAUUAGGGUGUUAUAAGCAGUUUUUGGUUUUAAUUUCAUACCUUUCCACAGUUUCCAAAUUUUCUCUCAUGACCCUUAUUGCUCCUCUAAGCAGAAAAUAAGCAGUAAACUGAAAUGCUAAUAGUUUUUUAAUUUCCUCAUGAAUCUGUUUUUACAGGCACCAUUUCAGUGGGGUCUGGAAAUCAGCAGGGUGUGAAACACAAAUGAAAUUCCCCGUUCACACGGGGCUGAGCGUACCCCUUGGCCCUGAAGAGAAGCUUUCCCUGCAUCCACGCUGGCAGCCAGCUGUCCACAGCUGCUCUGAGGAGGCUGCAAAUGAAUGGAGCUGGUGGAAAAACACAACAUUCCUGACUCUCCAAGGAUGGCAUUAUGCUUGGAGCUCUUGCUCACCAAAGAAGUAAAUAAAUACAGAGAGAGAGGGAGAGAAAGAGAGACAGAGAAGCAAGCUAGAGGAACUUUAUUCCAGGAGGUGGGUCAGCUCCUGGACCCAUAACACAACACCUAAAAGAAGACACCUGUGCCUAAGCCAACCAGCCUUGUCAAAUCAGGGCUAAAACACUGCUUGACCAUGGCCUACUGGGCUAUACCUCUUGCAUGCCACCUUCCCUUCCUGCCACACCUAAGGGUACAUAUGAACCAACUUUAUAUCCACCGCUAGGCUAAAGAGAUUCUGAGAGCACAGCCCCUGGCUGAUUCACCUUCAUCAACCCCUAGCACUGAAGGGCAUAUCCGUUCAUCCACUAUUUCCUCAGCCACUGCUGCAUGCCAAGCACUGUUCUGAUGCUAAGGAUACAAUGGGAAGCAAAACAGACAAACUCCCUGCCUUCACGGACCUUCCAUUCUAGCAGGGGAGGCAGACAAUAGACUGGAGGAGAACCAAGAUUACAGCCCAGGCAGACUGGGGUGCUGUGAAUGUAUUGCUAGGUUGUUUCAGAUGAGAUCUAAUGACAAGGUGAAGCCAGCUGUGGGAAGAUUCUGCACACAUGUGAGCUUGGUGUGUUUCAGGAACAAAAAGGGGCCAGGUGGUUCGAGUACAGGGCGUAGACAGUGAUCAGAGAGGCAGGCAGAGGCCAGAUCCUGGAAACCCCAUGGGAGGGGAGCACAGGAGCAGCCCACUUGCCUUAUAAAACCUGCUGUGAGCACCUGACAUGGUUCUGAGGGGUGGAUUAAUUCACUCCAAGGAGUUAAACAGAGAGACAAGCUCAGGGCUUUGCCUGCUUCCUCUGCCCCAAACCCUCAUUCCUCCCUCCACUGACCCAGCGAGAAAAGAUGCCCCAUCGAAGAAAGGAAGUUGUCAUCAGUGAACUGGUUGGUACUCUUUCUUUGAAGACAAAGGUGGGAUUGGGAAUUGGCGUGGAGAGUGGGAGGUGAGGGGGACCACCAGGGACUAGUCUGGGGAAGGGGAAGGGAGAGAGGGAAAGAGCUCUAACCUCCCCAGCCAGGACCUCACAGAAAUGCCAGAGUCCCUGGUCAGAGGGAGCCACACCUAAUUUGCCCCUUUCAGGAUCUCCUCCUGCAGAAAAAAAAAAAAAAAAAAA